rnacentral:rRNA from 1 species
UGAUCCUGCCAGUAGUCAUAUGCUUGACUCAAAAAUUAACACAUGCAUGUCUAAGUAUAAAUAGUAUACAGUGAAACUGCGAAUGGCUCAUUAAAACAGUUAUAGUUUAUUUGAUAAUGGAAAGCUACAUGGAUAACCGUGGUAAUUCUAGAGCUAAUACAUGCUGUCAAGCCUGACUUCUCGGAAGGGCUGUAUUUAUUAGAUAUCAAGCCAAUAUUCCUUCGGGUCUAUUGUGGUGAAUCAUAGUAACUGAUCGAAUCCUCAAAGGAUAAAUCAUUCAAGUUUCUGCCCUAUCAGCUUUCGAUGGUAGUGUAUUGGACUACCAUGGCAUUAACGGGUACGGAGAAUUAGGGUUCGGUUCCGGAGAGGGAGCCUGAGAAACGGCUACCACAUCUAAGGAAGGCAGCAGUGGUGAAAAUUACCCAAUCCUGAUUCAGGGAGGUAGUGACAAGAAAUAGAAAUCUGGGCCACUUUCGUGGUUACGGAAUUUAAAUGAGAACAAUUUAAAAGACUUAUCGAGGAACAAUUGGAGGGCAAGUC